rnacentral:rRNA from 1 species
UACGUAGGGUGCAAGCGUUGUCCGGAAUUAUUGGGCGUAAAGAGCUCGUAGGCGGUCUGUCGCGUCUGCUGUGAAAACCUGGGGCUUAACCCCGGGCCUGCAGUGGGUACGGGCAGACUAGAGUGCGGUAGGGGAGACUGGAAUUCCUGGUGUAGCGGUGAAAUGCGCAGAUAUCAGGAGGAACACCGGUGGCGAAGGCGGCUACCUGGACCGGAUCUGACGCUGAUGCGCGAAAGCGUGGGGAGCAAACAGG